rnacentral:lncRNA from 1 species
UGAUGUGCCAUCACUUUCAAUCCCAAACUGACCAGCAACAACUUUGGUUCCCAUGCUGAAACUUUGCUGAAGUGGGAGAUAGCUUGAAUUUCCGGCAGAGAUUUCAGAGAGCUUUCCAAGGUGAGAAAUUAAGAUAUGUGUCAUUUCUGUUAACAGAAAUUUGGGUUAAACCUGCGGCACUUUCAAAGUGAAGAGACAAGGUCUUUCGAUGUAAACCUG